rnacentral:tRNA from 1 species
GGGCGGUUAACUCAGCAGGACAGAGUGCCAGCCUCCUAAGCUGGGAGCCGUGGGUUCGAAUCCCGCACCGCCCACCA